GAAGUUUCUCCACUGAGACCAACGAUGGAGGAAAGCACUGAAAGUUUGCAGAGACGAGACAAGGGAAGGCGUCCAUUGAGGACAGCGGGAAAAGGAGUAGACUGGGGGAAGCACAGUGGGACCACCAGGCCACUUUAUGGGAUGUUUGAGGUUCACACGCAUCAAGCAUUUCACCAACCCCAUUUAGCUGCUCUGGUGCAGCAGGGAAUAGGUGGAAACUUGGAUUAAUUAGCACUGUGACUUGCCAAGUGAGAUAAAAGCAAGAGAGUUAAGGAUGACUGCAUGGGAGUGACUGUAAUGACAGUGGAAUUUAAACUAGAUAAGGAGCAAAAAGGAAACGAAGAAGACGAAAGUGAGUGCAAAGCAAGUAGAAUCACAGGAAUGGUCUUUUCAGUAGGUUUUGAGGAUUUCUGAAGUCCGAGACAUAAAGGGAAUGUGCAGGAAGGAAAGGAGAUGGUCAUAAACGAAGUAAAGGAAAUUGAAAUAAGAGGGCUGUGUUUUUUAGUAAUGGCAAAUUAGGGUAGUUGAGACAGGUGGAAGACAAAAUCUUUUUUUUUUUCCUUUUUUUGGAGACGGAGUCUCAUUUUGUCAUCCAAGCUGGAGUGCAGAGGCGUGAUCUAGGCUCACUGCAACCUCUCGGAUUCAAGGGAUUUUCCUGUCUCAGCCUCUCAGAAGAGAACAUCUUCAUAGGAGAGGAGCUCUAGGAACUGAGAAUGCAGGAAAUUGGAAGAAAUAUACAUUAAUAGCCAAGAAUUUAGACAGGACUGGGGAGCCAGGAACAAACAUUUGAGAUGUUGGGCUUUUAAUGGAGUUGCCACGGAUGACAGCAUCAUGAGAAAUGAGGUUUAAAAAUGGAGGAUUGUUCGAGGAGGGAGGAGGGCUGAUCUGAAAGCCACAAGGAGGACAAAUGGAACACCUACCCCCACUACAGGCUGGAAGUUUCCCUCUGUCGCCAGGGCUGGAGUGCAGUGACAUGAUCUCAGCUCACUGCAAGCUCCGCCUCCCAGGUUCACGCCAUUCUCCUGCCUUAGCCUCCCGAGUAGCUGGGACUACAGGUGCCUGCCACCACGCCCGGCUAAUUUUUUUGUAUUUUUAUUAGGGAUGGGGUUUCACCAUGUUAGCCAGGAUGGUCUUGAUCUCCUGACCUCGUGAUCCACCCGCCUCAGCCUCCCAAAAUGCUGGGAUUACAGGUGUGAGCCACCGCACCUGGCCUCAAUGUUCUUCCAUUUUUUAUGAAGUAGUAUAACAAUACAACUAUGAGUUCUUACUAAAAAGCCAUUAGAAGAAUUAAAAUAGAAUACAAAAAUAUUUGGUUAGCUAAAAGUGGCAGAAGAGGAAGAACACAGGACUAAAAAACAAAUAGGACAAAUAGAACACAAUAGCAAAACAGUAAACCUAAAUCAAACCAAUGAUUAUGUUAAACGCAAAUAGAAUAUACAUUACAAUUAAAAGGCCAGAUUGUCAGACUGUAUAUAAAGCAAAACCAAAUGGUGAGCUUUGUUUAGAAGGAAACAAGUAGCUUAAAAGAAAGGAACGGAAAAAUAUAUGCCAUGGAAUACUAAGUAUCAGAAAGCUAAAAUAGCUCUAUUAUUAUCAGAAAAAUCAAGAAAGAAAUUUCACAGUGAUAAUGGGGUAAUUUUUGAGGGAGACAUAUCCAUUAUAGAUGAGUAUGCACCUAACAACAGAGCUUCAAAAUACGAAAGCAAAAUGGUUAAGAUAUAGGGAGGAAUUAAAAAAUCCAAACAUGUAUUUGAAUAUCUUACAGUCCUUUUUAGUAAUGAUAGAAAAUUAGACCAAGAAUUCAGUAGCAAAUCAGUGCAGGAAUAAGAUAUCUACACAAUUCUACUAACUAUCUUGGCUUAACGGAAAAUAAUAAAUUGUAAUCUAUUGAAUAAAAUAAAAAUCUGAAUUUAUAUUAUAUGCAAAUUAAAAAGAUUAACAAGAGAUAGGAUAUUUACACAGUCUUAAAAUAGCUCCCUACAAAUUGCUUAUUAAUUAUAUAGGGGUAGAUAGUUAAUUUAUGGUUGACGAUUCUGGUGGGUGACAUCACCUUAAUGAAGAGAUCAAUGUUCACUUCACUGUAUCAGGACAAACUGAUACCAAGUGCUUGCUGACAUGAUGCAGUGAAAGGAAUACAAUGUCAUUUUCUGAAUCAAAUCAUAAGGAAUCAUCAGAAAAAAAAACACAAUGAGAAAUAUUCUUUAAAGUAGCUGAUCUACACUUUUGAAAACUGUCAACACAAAGACAGCAAAGAAAAUCUGUGAAACUAUCUUAGAGUAAAGGAGUCUGAAGAGACAUGAGCAUGACAUGCAGUGUGAUCCUGGAUUGGAUCCUAAACUGUGGAAAAUAGCUCUGUAAGGCAUUAUAAGACAAUUGAUAAAUUUGAAAUAUGAUCUGCGGUUUUAUACUAUUGUUUCUGUGUUUCAUUUCCCAAUUUGGUUAAUUUGUAUCUGAUCAUAUAAAGAGAAUGUCCAUGUCUUAGGAAAUAUUGUUAAUAAUUUCAUCUUCUCUCUUUGAACUCCAAACCCCUAAAAUAACUGAUAUUUAUACUUUGGUAUUUAUCAUUCCACAUAUGUUACUGGGUCAAUGCAAAAACACAUUGGCAUACAUAUACAUAUAUUUUUUUUUAAUAAAAGUGGCACUAUACAAUACACAUCUGUUGGAAAUUAUCUUUUUCUUUUUUACCUUUAAAAGAUAUAUUGGGCAUCACUUCAGAUAAAAAAAUAUAAAUCUUUAUUUUUAAUCAUAGUAUAAUAUUACAUAGGCUGAAUAAACCUUAAUUUAUUCAAGCGGUGCAUUCUUAAUGGAAUUCAGUUUGUUUUCUAGAUUUUUGCUAUUAUAAACAAUACUGUAAUAAACUUCUUGUGUUCAAGUGAUUUUGAUUCUUUAGGGGACAUUUCCCAAAGUCUAUUUGGUUGAUAUACAUAUUUUAAAAUUGUCUGUGUACUCAUUUUUAAUUUUAUAAUUAAACUUUGGCAAAAAUAUGUGUUACAAAUAGUGAAUUUUCUGCAAUUAUUAAUUUAAUAAAACAAUGACAAUCAAGAAUUAACUUUGUAUACUGAACAUAUUCUAAAUAUCCCUAGCAUCAAAACCCUAUAAUUAGCUAAAUAAUAUCUAAUUUUCCGAAGAGAAAAACAGAACAAG
rnacentral:lncRNA from 1 species